UUAUGCUGGAAACCCGAGACUUUUGAC
rnacentral:piRNA from 1 species